rnacentral:rRNA from 1 species
UACGGGGGGGGCAAGCGUUGUUCGGAAUUAUUGGGCGUAAAGAGCUUGUAGGCGGUCUGUCGCGUCUGCUGUGAAAAUCCGGGGCUCAACCCCGGACUUGCAGUGGGUACGGGCAGACUAGAGUGUGGUAGGGGAGACUGGAAUUCCUGGUGUAGCGGUGAAAUGCGCAGAUAUCAGGAGGAACACCGAUGGCGAAGGCAGGUCUCUGGGCCACUACUGACGCUGAGAAGCGAAAGCAUGGGGAGCGAACAGG